rnacentral:rRNA from 1 species
UCGAGCGGCGGACGGGUGAGUAAUGCCUAGGAAAUUGCCCUGAUGUGGGGGAUAACCAUUGGAAACGAUGGCUAAUACCGCAUGAUGCCUACGGGCCAAAGAGGGGGACCUUCGGGCCUCUCGCGUCAGGAUAUGCCUAGGUGGGAUUAGCUAGUUGGUGAGGUAAGGGCUCACCAAGGCGACGAUCCCUAGCUGGUCUGAGAGGAUGAUCAGCCACACUGGAACUGAGACACGGUCCAGACUCCUACGGGAGGCAGCAGUGGGGAAUAUUGCACAAUGGGCGCAAGCCUGAUGCAGCCAUGCCGCGUGUGUGAAGAAGGCCUUCGGGUUGUAAAGCACUUUCAGUCGUGAGGAAGGUAGUGUAGUUAAUAGCUGCAUUAUUUGACGUUAGCGACAGAAGAAGCACCGGCUAACUCCGUGCCAGCAGCCGCGGUAAUACGGAGGGUGCGAGCGUUAAUCGGAAUUACUGGGCGUAAAGCGCAUGCAGGUGGUUUGUUAAGUCAGAUGUGAAAGCCCGGGGCUCAACCUCGGAAUAGCAUUUGAAACUGGCAGACUAGAGUACUGUAGAGGGGGGUAGAAUUUCAGGUGUAGCGGUGAAAUGCGUAGAGAUCUGAAGGAAUACCGGUGGCGAAGGCGGCCCCCUGGACAGAUACUGACACUCAGAUGCGAAAGCGUGGGGAGCAAACAGGAUUAGAUACCCUGGUAGUCCACGCCGUAAACGAUGUCUACUUGGAGGUUGUGGCCUUGAGCCGUGGCUUUCGGAGCUAACGCGUUAAGUAGACCGCCUGGGGAGUACGGUCGCAAGAUUAAAACUCAAAUGAAUUGACGGGGGCCCGCACAAGCGGUGGAGCAUGUGGUUUAAUUCGAUGCAACGCGAAGAACCUUACCUACUCUUGACAUCCAGAGAACUUUCCAGAGAUGGAUUGGUGCCUUCGGGAACUCUGAGACAGGUGCUGCAUGGCUGUCGUCAGCUCGUGUUGUGAAAUGUUGGGUUAAGUCCCGCAACGAGCGCAACCCUUAUCCUUGUUUGCCAGCGAGUAAUGUCGGGAACUCCAGGGAGACUGCCGGUGAUAAACCGGAGGAAGGUGGGGACGACGUCAAGUCAUCAUGGCCCUUACGAGUAGGGCUACACACGUGCUACAAUGGCGCAUACAGAGGGCGGCCAACUUGCGAAAGUGAGCGAAUCCCAAAAAGUGCGUCGUAGUCCGGAUUGGAGUCUGCAACUCGACUCCAUGAAGUCGGAAUCGCUAGUAAUCGUGGAUCAGAAUGCCACGGUGAAUACGUUCCCGGGCCUUGUACACACCGCCCGUCACACCAUGGGAGUGGGCUGCAAAAGAAGUAGGUAGUUUAACCUUCGGGGGGACGCUUACCACUUUGUGGUUCAUGA